rnacentral:misc_RNA from 1 species
GGGCCGCCGUCCCCGUCCCCGUCCCCGCCGGCCGCGCCAAACUCUAAAUUUGAAAAAGCGUACUGCACGUUCUGAUUCAAAACAAAAAACAAGUCAAAACUUUUAACAACGGAUCUCUUGGUUCUGGCAUCGAUGAAGAACGCAGCGAAAUGCGAUAAGUAAUGUGAAUUGCAGAAUUCAGUGAAUCAUCGAAUCUUUGAACGCACAUUGCGCCCGGCAGCAAUCUGCCGGGCAUGCCUGUCCGAGCGUCAUUUCUUCCCUCGAGCGCGGCUAGCCCUACGGGGCCUGCCGUCGCCCGGUGUUGGGGCUCUACGGGUGGGGCUCGUCCCCCCCGCAGUCCCCGAAAUGUAGUGGCGGUCCAGCCGCGGCGCCCCCUGCGUAGUAGAUCCUACAUCUCGCAUCGGGUCCCGGCGAAGGCCAGCCGUCGAACCUUUUAUUUCAUGGUUGACCUCGGAUCAGGUAGG